rnacentral:rRNA from 1 species
AGUUUGAUUCUGGCUCAGAUUGAACGCUGGCGGAAUGCUUUACACAUGCAAGUCGAACGGCAGCACGGACUUCGGUCUGGUGGCGAGUGACGAACGGGUGAGUAAUGUAUCGGAACGUGCCUUAGUAGCGGGGGAUAACUACGCGAAAGCGCGGUAGCUAAUACCGCAUACGCCCUUCGGGGGAAAGCGGGGGACCUUUCUCGGGCCUCGCACUAUUAGAGCGGGCCGAUAUCGGAUUAGCUAGUUGGUGGGGUAACGCUCACCAAGGCGACGAUCCGUAGCUGGUUUGAGAGGACGACCAGCCACAUCGGGACUGGAGACACGGCCCAGACUCCUACGGGAGGCAGCAGUGGGGAAUUUUUGACAAUGGGGAAACCCGAUCCAGCCAUCCCGCGUGUGCGAUGAAGGCCUUCGGGUUGUAAAGCACUUUUGGCAGGAAAGAAACGGCACGGGAUAAUACCCCGUGCAACUGACGGUACCUGUAAGAAUAAGCACCGGCUAACUACGCGCCAGCAGCCGCGGUAAUACGUAGGGUGCAAGCGUUAAUCGGAAUUACUGGGCGUAAAGCGUGCGCAGGCGGUUCGGAAAGAAAGAUGUGAAAUCCCAGAGCUUAACUUUGAACUGCAUUUUUAACUACCGAGCUAGAGUGUGUCAGAGGGAGGUGGAAUUCGCGUAGCAGUGAAAUGCGUAGAUAUGCGGAGGAACACCGAUGGCGAAGGCAGCCUCCUGGGAUAACACUGACGCUCAUGCACGAAAGCGUGGGGAGCAAACAGGAUUAGAUACUCCUGGUAGUCCCGACGCCCUAAACGAUGUCAACUAGCUGCUGGGGCCUUCUGGCCUGGUAGCGCAGCUAACGCGUGAAGUUGACCGCCUGGGGAGUACGUGGUCGCAAGAUUAAAACUCAAAGGAAUUGACGGGGACCCGCACAAGCGGUGGAUGAUGUGGAUUAAUUCGAUGCAACGCGAAAACCUUACCUACCCUUGACAUGUCUGGAAUCCUGAAGAGAUUUGGGAGUGCUCGCAAGAGAACCGGAACACAGGUGCAGAUAUUGCCGUCAGGCUCGGGGCCGUGAGAUGUUGGGUUAAGUCCCGCAACGAGCGCAACCCUUGUCAUUAUUGCUACGAAAGGGCACUCUUAAUGAGACUGCCGGUGACAAACCGGAGGAAGGUGGGGAUGACGUCAAGUCCUCAUGGCCCUUAUGGGUAGAGCUUCACACGUCAUACAAUGGUCGGGACAGAGGUCGCCAACCCGCGAGGGGGAGCCAAUCCCAGAAACCCGAUCGUAGUCCGGAUCGCAGUCUGCAACUCGACUGCGUGAAGUCGGAAUCGCUAGUAAUCGCGGAUCAGCAUGUCGCGGUGAAUACGCUCCCGGGUCUUGUACACACCGCCCGUCACACCAUGGGAGUGGGUUUUACCAGAAGUAGUUAGCCUAACCGUAAGGAGGGCGAUUACCACGGUAGGAUUCAUGACUGGGGUGAAGUCGUAACAAGGUAG